ACCCUUUACCCAUGAGUGUGACGAGUGGGUGUGCAUGCCAUUCGCAUGAGAUGCGCCUCCCUCAAACCUUGUUACCAAGUGGUGAAGGUGUCAGGUGGGUCAAGGCCACGUCCUGACU
rnacentral:snoRNA from 1 species